rnacentral:rRNA from 1 species
CACGUAGGGCGCAAGCGUUGUCCGGAAUUAUUGGGCGUAAAGAGCUCGUAGGCGGUCUGUUGCGUCCGCUGUGAAAACUCGGGGCUUAACCCCGAGCCUGCAGUGGAUACGGGCAGACUAGAGGUAGGUAGGGGAGAAUGGAAUUCCCGGUGUAGCGGUGAAAUGCGCAGAUAUUGGGAAGAACACCGGUGGCGAAGGCGGCGAGCUGGUCCAUUACUGACGCUGAGGCGCGACAGCGUGGGGAGCAAACAGG